CCUGCCUGCCUGUGGAAAGGAGCUAAACGGCACGAGGAGAGGUAGAGGUGGGAGAUCACAGUGUGGGAGGCAGCAGUGUCCUCACCCAAACAGCUGGGUCAAACGCAAGGGUCGUCCAGCGCAGCGACGUGUCUCCAGUGGCCAGGAGUGGACACCAAGGAACACACRACAGGGCAAGCACCCACUGCUGUUUCCUCAAAAUGCCCUCGCAGCCUUCAGCAGCUUGGAGCUUGAGGACUUCCUGAGACAGCCUUGGCCCCAAGAGGCGAGUAAYGCUUAAAACGCUCGUUGCGUGGGUUUCAGAGAGGGGACGUGGAAGAACCCAUCAGCCUUCCUUUUUCCAGCGUUUGAAAAGG
rnacentral:lncRNA from 1 species